GAUGAAGAACGUAGCGAAAUGCGAUAAGUAAUGCGAAUUGCAGAAUUCAGUGAAUCAUCGAAUCUUUGAACGCACAUUGCGCCCGCCAGUAUUCUGGCGGGCAUGCCUGUCUGAGCGUCGUUUCGACCCUCGCGCCCGGCUUCUGUCGGGGGCGGUGUUGGGGAUCGGCCACACCCUUCAGUGGGAGGCCGGCCCCUAAAUUCAGUGGCGACCACGCUGUAGCCUCCCCUGCGUAGUACCAAAACCACCUCGCAGGCGGAGAGCGGUGCGGCCCGCCGUAAAACCCCCCAACUUUUACAAGGUCGACCUCAGAUCAGGUAGGAAUACCCGCUGAACUUAAGCAUAUCAAUAAGCGGAGGA
rnacentral:misc_RNA from 1 species